rnacentral:rRNA from 1 species
AACGAACGCUGGCGGCAGGCUUAACACAUGCAAGUCGAACGCAUCCUUCGGGGUGAGUGGCAGACGGGUGAGUAACGCGUGGGAACGUGCCCUUCAGUUCGGAAUAACCCAGGGAAACUUGGGCUAAUACCGGAUACGUGCGAGAGCAGAAAGAUUUAUCGCUGAAGGAUCGGCCCGCGUCUGGUUAGCUAGUUGGUGAGGUAAUGGCUCACCAAGGCGACGAUCAGUAGCUGGUCUGAGAGGAUGAUCAGCCACUGGGACUGAGACACGGCCCAAACUCCUACGGGAGGCAGCAGUGGGGAAUAUUGGACAAUGGGCGCAAGCCUGAUCCAGCCAUGCCGCGUGAGUGAUGACGGCCUUAGGGUUGUAAAGUUCUUUCGCCCGUGACGAUGAUGACGGUAACGGGAGAAGAAGCCCCGGCUAACUUCGUGCCAGCCGCCGCCGUAAUAC